UAGGGAAUCUUCGGCAAUGGACGAAAGUCUGACCGAGCAACGCCGCGUGAGUGAAGAAGGUUUUCGGAUCGUAAAACUCUGUUGGUAGAGAAGAACGUUGGUGAGAGUGGAAAGCUCAUCAAGUGACGGUAACUACCCAGAGAGGGACGGCUAACUACGUGCCAA
rnacentral:rRNA from 1 species